rnacentral:lncRNA from 1 species
GUCAAGUUCUGCCAGCAGAACGGCAACAGAGAUAGAGUGCAUGGGCACACCUGUAUACCCAGUCUUUGGCAAUACACAUUACAGAUACUGGCCAAAAAAGAAUUAGAAAAUCAGUGUCAAAGUUGGAUUGUGGUCCCUGAAGACUUAGAUUAAUGGAAUUCUGCUGGAAACAUAAAGGUUGUUUCCCUGCUGUUCACAUCUGUUGCAUCCUGGGAAAAAAACAAAAAGGAAGAUGUUAUGUGAAGAGCUGAUGUUUGCAUCGCCGACUCUCCCUGAUUUGUGCUGAUGAUAGCUGAAGCUGCAGUCUUGGCAUCUUCUACUGCACAUUGUCAUCAGCAAGGUAAGAAGUGCCUUUUGC